UACAGAGGUGGCAAGCGUUGUUCGGAUUUACUGGGCGUAAAGGGUCCGUAGGCGGUUCGGUUAGUCAAAUGUGAAAGCCCACAGCUCAACUGUGGAACUGCAUUUGAAACUGCCGAGCUAGAGUGUGAGAGGGGUUAAGGGAAUUCCCGGUGUAAGGGUGAAAUCUGCAGAGAUCGGGAGGAACACCAGUCGCGAAGGCGCUUAACUGGCUCAUUACUGACGCUCAGGGACGAAAGCUAGGGUAGCAAACGGG
rnacentral:rRNA from 1 species